GGAGCUGUGUCUCAGGGGCAGAGUGUCUGCUUGUGAUGCAGAAGGUCCCGGGUUCAAUCCCCAGCAUCUCCA